GCAUGAAAUAGAACCUUGAAAUUGUAAAUUAUUGUAAGAAGUCAUGACAUCGAAAACAUUAAGUAUAGAACAGAGUAACGAGACAAAACGUGUCGUGAUGAUAAUGAAUCGAGGUCCAUAAACCAGAGACUGCGAACGCUUGAGGUUAAUCAUUCUCGAUAUCACGCUCCAAAUGCUUGUGCAGCUUGAUCGUAAUUUUGUUCGAGUGCCAGGAUUUUGUAUCAGCUGAUGAACUCAGAAUUAUUUUAUAGAAUCGAGUGACUAAACGAUCAUCGAAGAUUUAUCUAGUCUUUUAUUGACAGAAUACGUUGAUAUGGCAGAUUUCGCGUUAAAUGAAUUUAGCAGUGAUCAGACUGAAAAAAUCCUUCAGUUUCAGGAUUUAACGGGUAUCGAAGACCUAUCAAUCUGUAGAGAUGUUUUGCAAAGGCAUAACUGGAAUUUAGAAGUAGCCGUACAGGAACAACUAAAUCUCUACGAAGGAAGACCAUCAAUGUAUGCACAGGAUUCGAGGUCAAGGCCACCACAAGUUGUUGAUGACAGCAAUUCUAGAAUAUAUUUUCAUUAUUCUGGUAGUUCUAGCGGCAGUGGUAGUUACCUGUGGUAUAUCUUUUCGUUAUGUUAUGAAAGAGUGAUCCGCAUCCUACAAUUACUUCUAUCCAUAUUUAGGAGAAAUGUUAGACCUGUAUCAGCUGAUCCAGUGGAAGAUGUAAUUAACUUCAUUCGAUCCUAUGAAGAACGUUAUGGUAAUAGUCAUCCUGUUUUCUAUCAAGGUUCUUAUAGUCAAGCUCUUUCAGAUGCAAAGCAAGAAUUAAGAUUUUUAUUGGUAUACUUGCAUAAAGAUGAAGCUCAGAAUAUCGAUCAGUGGUGCAGGAAUACAUUAGGUAAUCUAGAAGUUGUUCGGUACAUAAAUGUACAUACAUUGUUUUGGGCAUGUAAUGUACAAUCAGGUGAAGGUUACAAAGUGGCAGAAGCUCUUAAAUCUGGUUCUUAUCCUUUCCUGGCUAUUAUCGUUCUAAAGGACAACAGAAUGACAAUUGUUGGCCGGAUGGAAGGCACACCGUCUCCUUCUGAUUUGAUAUCUCGUUUGCAAACAAUCGUAGAGCACAAUGAAAUUAAUUUAAUACAAGCCCGCCAAGAAAGAGCGGAACGUAGUGCCGCACAAUCUUUACGCCAACAACAAGAUCAAGCCUAUGAAGAAUCAUUACGUGCAGAUCAAGAGAAAGAUCGUAGAAGAGAAGAAGAACGAAAAGCGCGAGAAGAACAAGAAGCUAGAGAAAAGGAACAAUUAAAUGCACAAGAAUUGGAAAUUCAACGUAUUCGUCGUGAGAAAGAACUUACUGUACACAAAGUACCUCUUGAACCAGAGCCUACACAUUCUAAUGCAUGUCAUCUUCAAAUUAAACUCGGAGAGAGAACGAUGAAAAGGCGUUUCUUAAUGUCUGACACAAUAGAAGAUGUUUAUCAUUGGAUAUUUAGUCAACCAGAUUCUCCAGUGAGUUUCGAAAUAACAACAAGUUUUCCGAAAAGAAUUUUAUAUCCAUGUAGAGAAGUCUUAACAUUAUCAGAUGCUGGAUUAACUCAUAGAGAAGUUCUUCAUGUUAAUGAUUUAGAUGAUUAACCUCUAAUGACAUUUCAAUACUGCAUUCUUUGUGUUUAAGUAUCAUUCCAUGGAAAAAUGAUACUGCCCGUAGCUCGAUGACGAGAGUGCAGUUAUGCAACGGGUCUAUGAAAUACAUUGGAGAAAAAGAAAUCGGAAACCGUCUAAUUAUACUGCACGAAAAGGAUCGUUUCAGCUACAAGUAUAUUUAUCGUGUGUCACGAAAUACAACACGUUCACUGAAAUAUACAUUGAAUAAUAUAAAAGGGCAGAUUUCAUUGUAGAAACUGAAAAGAAACUUAUAUAAUACGUCAUCAGAAAAGCUGUACACCAAACAUUUAUUACACUUGUCUUAAUACAUUUUAGCUUAAAAAAAUCUUUUAAUAAGCUGACUAAAAGAUGUAAGUACUUUACAAAGCUGAAGAAGCAAAAAAUGUUAUAUGUUAUAAUUAAAGCACAGAUUUAUAGUAUUUGCACUUGAUAAUUUUCUGAAAGUCAAAAUCACUUUAUUGUAAUGUUUCAAAUCUGUACUUUAAAUGUAACUAAUGAAACAAUUUCUGACAAGUGUGUGUUUCUUUUGCAUUUUGCCGUCCUUACAAUUCUGGUCAGUCUUAUUAAAAAUCAUAUUAGAUACAAUGAAAGAGCGAAUUCAUAAUAGAUCAUUCGGUUAAAUGAAAUUGUACUCGAUGGAAAUUUUUGUAUGAGGAAAGAGAGAAAGGAGUUAAGCGAUAAUAGUUCAUCUUAGAAUAUCAGAUUUUUUUGUAUAUGAUAAUUUUAUGAGUGUGAACACGACG
rnacentral:misc_RNA from 1 species